rnacentral:rRNA from 1 species
CCUACGGGAGACAGCAGUGGGGAAUAUUGCACAAUGGGGGAAACCCUGAUGCAGCGACGCCGCGUGAGUGAAGAAGUAUCUCGGUACGGAAAGCUCUAUCAGCAGGGAAGAUAAUGACGGUACCUGACCAAGAAGCCCCGGCUAACUACGUGCCAACAGCCGCGGUAAUACGUAGGGGGCAAGCGUUAUCCGGAUUUACUUGGUGUAAAGGGAGCGUAGACGGCAGCACAAGUCUGGAGUGAAAUACCUGGGCUUAACCCCGGAACUGCUUUGGAAACUGUGCGGCUGGAGUGCAGGAGGGGUAAGCGGAAUUCCUAGUGUAGCGGUGAAAUGCGUAGAUAUUAGGAGGAACACCGGUGGCGAAGGCGGCUUACUGGCCUGUAACUGACGUUGAGGCUCGAAAGCGUGGGGAGCGAACAGGAUUAGAUACCCUAGUAGUC